rnacentral:rRNA from 1 species
AACGAACGCUGGCGGCAUGCCUAACACAUGCAAGUCGAACGAGACCUUCGGGUCUAGUGGCGCACGGGUGCGUAACGCGUGGGAACCUGCCCUUAGGUUCGGAAUAACUCCCCGAAAGGGGUGCUAAUACCGGAUAAUGUCUUCGGGCCAAAGAUUUAUCACCUUUGGAUGGGCCCGCGUUGGAUUAGCUAGUUGGUAGGGUAAAAGCCUACCAAGGCGACGAUCCAUAGCUGGUCUGAGAGGAUGAUCAGCCACACUGGGACUGAGACACGGCCCAGACUCCUACGGGAGGCAGCAGUGGGGAAUAUUGGACAAUGGGCGAAAGCCUGAUCCAGCAAUGCCGCGUGAGUGAUGAAGGCCUUAGGGUUGUAAAGCUCUUUUACCCGGGAUGAUAAUGACAGUACCGGGAGAAUAAGCUCCGGCUAACUCCGUG